UGAGGAGUAGCUCAACUGGCAGAGCGGCGGCCUUUGGAGCCGAAGGUUGUAGGUUCGAGUCCUACCUCCUCAGCCA
rnacentral:tRNA from 1 species